rnacentral:rRNA from 1 species
GUCGAGCGGCGGACGGGUGAGUAAUGCCUGGGAAAUUGCCCUGAUGUGGGGGAUAACCAUUGGAAACGAUGGCUAAUACCGCAUAAUAGCUUCGGCUCAAAGAGGGGGACCUUCGGGCCUCUCGCGUCAGGAUAUGCCCAGGUGGGAUUAGCUAGUUGGUGAGGUAAUGGCUCACCAAGGCGACGAUCCCUAGCUGGUCUGAGAGGAUGAUCAGCCACACUGGAACUGAGACACGGUCCAGACUCCUACGGGAGGCAGCAGUGGGGAAUAUUGCACAAUGGGCGCAAGCCUGAUGCAGCCAUGCCGCGUGUGUGAAGAAGGCCUUCGGGUUGUAAAGCACUUUCAGUCGUGAGGAAGGUGGUGUCGUUAAUAGCGGCAUCAUUUGACGUUAGCGACAGAAGAAGCACCGGCUAACUCCGUGCCAGCAGCCGCGGUAAUACGGAGGGUGCGAGCGUUAAUCGGAAUUACUGGGCGUAAAGCGCAUGCAGGUGGUUAGUUAAGUCAGAUGUGAAAGCCCGGGGCUCAACCUCGGAACUGCAUUUGAAACUGGCUGACUAGAGUACUGUAGAGGGGGGUAGAAUUUCAGGUGUAGCGGUGAAAUGCGUAGAGAUCUGAAGGAAUACCGGUGGCGAAGGCGGCCCCCUGGACAGAUACUGACACUCAGAUGCGAAAGCGUGGGGAGCAAACAGGAUUAGAUACCCUGGUAGUCCACGCCGUAAACGAUGUCUACUUGGAGGUUGUGGCCUUGAGCCGUGGCUUUCGGAGCUAACGCGUUAAGUAGACCGCCUGGGGAGUACGGUCGCAAGAUUAAAACUCAAAUGAAUUGACGGGGGCCCGCACAAGCGGUGGAGCAUGUGGUUUAAUUCGAUGCAACGCGAAGAACCUUACCUACUCUUGACAUCCAGAGAACUUAGCAGAGAUGCUUUGGUGCCUUCGGGAACUCUGAGACAGGUGCUGCAUGGCUGUCGUCAGCUCGUGUUGUGAAAUGUUGGGUUAAGUCCCGCAACGAGCGCAACCCUUAUCCUUGUUUGCCAGCACUUCGGGUGGGAACUCCAGGGAGACUGCCGGUGAUAAACCGGAGGAAGGUGGGGACGACGUCAAGUCAUCAUGGCCCUUACGAGUAGGGCUACACACGUGCUACAAUGGCGCAUACAGAGGGCGGCCAACUUGCGAAAGUGAGCGAAUCCCAAAAAGUGCGUCGUAGUCCGGAUUGGAGUCUGCAACUCGACUCCAUGAAGUCGGAAUCGCUAGUAAUCGUGGAUCAGAAUGCCACGGUGAAUACGUUCCCGGGCCUUGUACACACCGCCCGUCACACCAUGGGAGUGGGCUGCAAAAGAAGUGGGUAGUUUAACCUUCGGGAGGACG